UUUUCUAUGAAUAUCGAAUCAAUCCCAACAAUUCGACGAUAAAGACGAAGAUACUUUCUAAAAAAUUUCACUGCCAUACACCGAAACGAUAAAGAUUUCUAUCGAAAGUGCACAUCUUCGUGAAAGUUUACAUCUUUAUCGGGAAUCUCUAAAAGUCGAAGUUAAGAAAGAUCGAAAAUCGCAGUUACCCUGAAACGAGUUUCGUAGAAUACAUCGAAACGAAAGAAUACUACGAGAAACUGAAUUAUGCUUAUUUAAGUUCUUCGUAACAGACUGGCGGGAAGUAGCCAAAAUAAACGACGUGAACAAAAAUAAGUACCAAUCGUCUACCUG
rnacentral:misc_RNA from 1 species